GAAGACUUGAACUUAAUACAGCAAGAAAGACCAUCAAGUUUACCACUUCUCCUUGGACCUCUUCACAUUUCUACCUAGAUGUCUCAUCAGAAUGGAAUUUUCAGAUCCUUCCUUCUGCCCCACAGUGCUCUUUGCCAUGCUCUUUUAAGGUACCAGAAUACUGGGAAAAAAAGGGCGUUCUGGAUAAGUGAAAAUGUCCUAGGACCUGCUUGGUGUUUACUGACUUACUAGGAAGUUGAUAGUGAAAUGUGAAGGGUUCAUGACAGUGACUUGGUGUUACUAGAAAGCAAAAGUAAAGUGAGGAACACAGGAAUCUACAAGUGCUGGGUGUGGGGUAGUGGGUGGGGUGCAGUUGUGGGUGAAACUUCAGUGUGAAAUUUGGAAUCAGAACAUUUAGCUGAGUCUAAAUGGAGUUUCUUACUUUUCUUUCCUUUCAUUUCCUUUUCCUUUUUUAGAGAGGGUCUCGCUCUUUUGCCCAGGCUGGAAUGCAGUGGUGCAGUCAUGGCACACUGCAGCCUCAACCUCCCUGGGCUCAGGUGAUCCUCCCACCUCAGCCUCAUGAGUAGUUGGGACUACGGGCAUGCAUGCACCACCACAUCUGGCUAAUUGUUUUGUAUUUUUUGUUGAGACGGGGUUUUGCCCUGUUGCCCAAGCUGGUCUUGAACUCCUGGACUCAAGCAAUCCACUCAUGUCAGCCUCCCAAAGUAUUGGGAUUACAAGUGAGAGCCACUGCACCUGGCCAGUACUUUAUUUUCAUACAGAGACUGAGAGUAAGACUUCAUUUCCAAAUAAAAGUAGGUUAUUAAAUAUUGCUUUAUAUAUUUUUAAAGUUCUUACAGAAAGAAAGCUUCCAUAUACUCUAGACCAUUUUGAGAUUCUUUCAGGCUGUGACUCUUAAGGUCAGCUACAUUUUUAUUGACAGCAAUCCUGGAAGAAAAGUAAAGAGAAGUGAGAAUAUAAUGUUGUGAUUCUGUUAAAAUCACUCAAAAUGCUUGAAAUUGAUAAUACUUUUUGGCAUGUUUCUUUCUAAAAUCAAUGUGAUAAUAUCCGCUGCAUUGAUAAACAUAGUUAGCAAGCAUUUUUGUACUUAGCGUUUGUGUAUAAAAUGUAAAGGAAGGUUUUUUAAUUCAGAGAAGGUGCUCAUGUUUGAAAGACAAUAUAUGGAUCUGGAAGAAGUAAAAGUAAAUCUUUAAACUCUAAUUGCAAGGCUGUCUGCUCAUAUUUAAUUGACACACGUUUAAACAUUGGUUGUAAUGGAUUGUUUGCCAUUUAACUGACAUUAACGACCUCAGUUAACUCAUGUUUUUAUAUUACAUUGGCUGUUUAUUUUUUGUUAAUUUCCCUUUAGUGUUCAGCUUCCCAUACAUUAAAAGUU
rnacentral:lncRNA from 1 species